ensembl:lncRNA
CACACUGCUUUUUACUUCACAAGAUGAUAAUUAAUGGACAGGUGUGGAUUACUUGUGGAUUAUUGUGAUGUUUUAUCAGCUAUUUGGAUUCUCAUUCUGACGGCACCCAGUCUCUGCAGAGGAUCCAUUGGUGAGUAAGUGAUGUUAUGCUACAUUUCUCCAAAUCUGAUAAAGAAAUAAACUCAUCUAGAUCUUGGAGUGAGUACAUUUUCAGCAAAUUUUCUUUUUUUGGUGAACUAUUCCUGACUUUGCAUUGCACAGAACUGAUUGUCUUGAUUAGAGAAUGUGUACAUUUUUAUCAGUGUUACUCUUUGGGAGGAAGUCAUAUGGGGUCUGAUCGGCAAGCGAUCUGUCUGUACAGUCAUCCUGUAGUGAACAGCUCACGGAUAAACAAGCACUGCACUGCGGUCGACUCCAGCUCUUGUCAGUUUGAGGAACAGAAGACAGCAAUGAUGAAAGUCCUGUCACACUAAAACGGCAUUAGUCAUCUCGGUGUGGGGUGUGAGAUGCUCUUACAUGGGUGAUAUAAGAUGAAAUCUUAUGAAAAGAACUCAAACUUCAGAUCCCAGGCCACCACUAUCUCAUUUGAUUGAAGAAUCAAUCAAAUCGAUUGGUUGCUUCAAACAGAGUUGACAUAAUAAUUAUCAUACUUAUUAAACUGUCAAUAAUACAAUAUAAUAUUUAUUGUUAAUGUAAAACUAAACUGCAAUUAUUUGAAGGGGUCCAAUUAUGCUCUUUUACAAAGUCUUGAUUUUGUUUUAGGGGUGUACUAGAACAGGCUCUAAGGCUACGUUCACACUGCAGGCUGAAACGACCCAAUUCCGAUUUUUUUGCCCCUAUGCGACCUGUAUCUGAUCUUUUCAUGACAGUCUGAACGACACAGAUCCUAUCUUUUCAAAUGUGACCCAGGCCACUUGGGUAUGUGGUCCUGAAUCCGAUUCGUAUCCGAUCUUUUGAAAUGCGACCUCCGUCUGAACGGCCAGGCCACAUAUAUCCGACCCGUACGUCAUUGAUACGCUACAAACGUCAUAAUUCUGCGUUGAAGUAGGCGGGAACGAGAAGAAAGAAGCCACUCACAUCAGUAUCUCACCACUCCUGGCUGCGACUCUGCACCCACACGUUUCUCUGUACCGACGUUGCUAACACUGCUCCAC